GCUAGUACUCGACGAUGAGGCUGCCGAAUGGCGCGCGGUGUGGAAUGCCCUUGCGGCGCUUGGGCGGCAGGGUGGGCGGCGGCGGCGGGGUGGACGGCGUGAAGCUCCUCUUGGCAGGGGAGGUGGAGUUGUCGGAGUCGGAGGUGGAGGCCAUGGCGUGGGCGUGGCGUAGUCUCUUCCUCCUGGCGGCGGUGGCGGUGGCGGUGGCGGCGGCGGUGGCGGCGUGGGGGGAGCAGCCGACGACCUUGCAGCCGAGGGAGCAGAAGCGGAAGUUGUCGAGGAGGCUGCGGCUGCAGACCUCGCAGAUGUUGGCGACGGCGCCCUUGCCGGCCUUGUGCUGGGGGCGCUCGUUGAGGAACACCACGCGGGCGCUGUUGAUGACGUACGUCUGCACCCCGCCGAUGUCCAUGAACCUCUGGAUGUCCGACACCCUGAUCACGUCGUGGUACGACGACCGCCGGAUCUGCAACCACAACGCCGCCACCGCCAUGGUUAGGUAGGUUUGGUUUGGGAGAGGGAGACUGCAAUGCAUUGGGAACAAGGAAAUGGUUAGUACCUGGAUGGUGUGGUGGUCGCGGUGGUUGUGGGCGAGGCAGAGGGAGCAGAGCGCGGCGGCGGCGGCGUCGGCGUCGGCGGCGCAGUCGAGGCAGAACAUGUUGCACUCGCCGCUCCGGUGCGAGUCGGCGUGCACCUUGCACUGCGAGAAGAAGCUGGCCGAGAGCAGCGGGCUCAGCCACCGCGGCCACUGCUCUCCGUGCGCCACCGCCUCCUCCUCCUCCGGCUCAGGCCCUCCUCCUCCCUGCAAGUUUCAAUAAACCAACGCAUCCGUCAGUUUCCUUUCCUAAACUACAACUCGAUAUUAGAUUGGAUGAAAAGAGGCAGUUUUGACCAAGAUAAUCCCCUCUCCUUUGAACGAUUCAUGCACGCAAUUCACAGCGCGUUUCUUGAUUCUUGGAAAUCACGGAGAAGCGAUUUUUUUUUAAAAAAAAACCCACGGAUUUGGCGGCGAAAGGAAUGCGGGGAUUCCAACGCACAGAGGGAAGCAGCAAAAGCAAGAACCCAAGAAGAAGAAGAAUCCUUUAAUCAAUCUGGCGCCAUUGCCCAUAGAAAUCGGCCGCCCAAUACAACAGUAACCGAAACAACAACGAAGGGGAAUAAACUCCAGAAGCAUCUCAUUCCUUCAUUCAUUCAUGUAGUACUACACAAGAAACAAGGAGUAAUCGAAAAAGAAGAAGAGAACGGAAUGGCGCAGCAUAUAAACAUACCAUGAUCCUCCUGUUCUUGAGGCGGAGCUCCUUGAACGGCGACUCGUGGUCGAUGGCCAUCGAUCGAUCAAUCAAUCAAUCAGUCCUCUCCUCUCCGAAUGCAACUAGGCAAAGGGUAGGAAGAAGA
rnacentral:lncRNA from 1 species